rnacentral:rRNA from 1 species
ACAAUGGAGAGUUUGAUCCGGGCUCAGGAUGAACGCUAGCGGCAGGCUUAACACAUGCAAGUCGAGGGGCAGCGAGUAAGUUGCUUGCAACUUAUGUCGGCGACCGGCGCACGGGUGCGUAACGCGUAUGUAACCUACCUCAAACAGGGGCAUAACACUGAGAAAUUGGUACUAAUUCCCCAUAACACUAUAGGAGGCAUCUU